AUGAAUCCUCAUUUUCAGAAACUUUGCAGCGAACUCGUGCAACAUAAACAAUGCCACUGCGAAGCUCUGUGGCUUCAAUUUCUAUCUGUGGCAGUGAACUGGGUAGUGUCUUGUUCAAUGCGACCUACAAAGACAUGCUGUACUCCUUAUACUGCAACUCAUAUUGAAGAAUGUCAACGAGGUACCACGGCACACUCCACCAUAUCUGACACUUGCUGGCAGUGACAUUCCUCUGGAUGUUCAAAGGUGGAUCAAGUUUUACUGCAAAUAGAGAAGUAGAUUUUUUCAUUAUAUUUGGGACAUGAACACCACAGAAGGAGAUGCAUAAUACUAGACUCACUGAAGUCUUGGAAGAUAAAGCUGGGUCUGAAGAGUGAUACUAAGACCAGCAAUAUACCAAAUUAGCUUACAGGGUAGGUCAGAAUAGCUACAGAACUGAGAUAAAUUACUGGUAACUCCAAUAGCCCCUGGGGAUAGUCCUGCAAGCAAACAACUGUGGAUGUCACAUUCUCCUCUUCCAACAUACUACUGAUGUAGACAGGCUCUGAGAUUUUGCAUACUAGAGCAUUUCUCUGAAGUACUAGGCCAUGGGACAUUGAAUUAGAUCCACACCUUUGAUUUCAUUUCUUAGAAAAAAACCCCACCCAACUAUAAAGGCAAUCCAAUUGUACAUUAUCCAUGGCACAAGAAAACAUGAUGCAGAUGAGAAAUAAGAUUGAAAGAUGCUCCAGAGUCAGCCCUCUCUGAAGUCCUGGGGAACUCAGAACAGAGAAACACUGGGACUACAUCCUGACCGAUUAAGUUCACAUAGUGCACUCUCCAGGGAUGACUAGUCUGGCUUGUUUACAUUAUUUUCACUUGCUGUCUUUGAGACACCCUUUGUUAGCUUAUCAGACCUACCACAAAGCUGCUAGGCAGAGCCUCAGCUCACAGCUGCCCUGGUUCAUACUUACUGUGCUUGCGGGGAUUGUACUCUGGAAAGGUAAUGUAUGUGUGAUUAUGUCCAAAGAAGUUGCCUUGGAGGGAGACUCUAUAACCAUCUGUUUCCAAGAUCUGGCUGGCUAAAUGGAUUGUGCAGUGGUACUGAUUCUGCAUGUUCUCUCUGGCAGUCAGUUUGCAGCUGGCGUUGUGGCCCUUUGACCAGAGGCUAGAAGAAUAAAAGGGCUGAAAGUUUCUUUUAAGUCAUAUGAUUAAGUGCUUUUCAGUUUAUGAAAGAUGGGUGGGAGCUUAGUGCAGCACCACAUUCUGGAAGUGCAUGAACCUCUUCAGUGCAGACCGCAGAGAAAGCAAUGCUAAAGCUGGCUGGACAGCCGGGCUGAAGAGGGAGGAAGGAGACACCUUCAUAACCUCACUCUGAGAGCACCAAGCCUCCCAGGUGCUGCACGCAGAGCCCAGUACCUGCCCCUGCGCCCUCUGAAAGGGGGCUCCUGCGUGUUGCUGCCAGGAAAGCAGCUGGUAUAGGGGGGUAGGAGUGGGUGGACAGUUAAAGUGCACAGCACAAAGCUAACAAGUUGUACGUUAAAGCCUCUUUCGCUAUGAACACACCAGUACCGAUGGCAAAACAUGUCAGAGGUCGGUUUGUUGCUUGCUUGUUGUUGUUGGUUUUUUUUUUUUAAUAUUCACAAGCUUCAGCACAGCGUAACAGGAUGAAUGACAGAAAACUUCAUCUUGGGGAAAUAGCUCCAAAGAACAGUCUUCUAAUAUUAAAUUAUCUAAUGUAGCUGGUUGUUACCAAAUUUUUCUUGGUGCAUGUGACCCUGCAAUAAACUGGGAUACCACA